GCCCCAGCCAGGGAUUACCAGGUGUUUCUAUUCAGUGAUCAGCACUGAACACAGAGGACUCACCAUGGAGCUUGGUCUGACCUGGGUUUUUCUUGUUGCUAUUUUAAAAGGUGUCCAGUGUGAGGAGCAGCUGGUGGAGUCUGGGGGAGGCUUGGUCCAGCCUGGGGGUUCCCUGAGACUCUCCUGUGCAGCCUCUGGAUUCACCUUCAGUACCUACUGGAUGUACUGGGUUCGCCAGGCUCCGGGGAAGGGGCUGGAGUGGGUCUCAGCCAUUAGAUAUGAUGGGGGUAGCAUAUACUACGCAGACUCCGUCAAGGGCAGAUUCACCAUCUCCAGAGAGGAUGCCAAGAACACACUGUAUCUCCAAAUGAAUAGUCUGAGAGCUGAGGACACAGCUGUAUAUUACUGUGCAAAAGACACACAGUGA